UACGAAGGGGGCUAGCGUUGCUCGGAAUCACUGGGCGUAAAGGGAGCGUAGGCGGCGUGGUAAGUCAGAUGUGAAAUCCCGGGGCUCAACCCCGGAACUGCAUCCGAUACUGCCAUGCUAGAGGAUUGGAGAGGUAGCUGGAAUUCUUGGUGUAGCAGUGAAAUGCGUAGAGAUCAAGAGGAACACUCGUGGCGAAAGCGAGCUACUGGACAAUUCCUGACGCUGAGGCUCGAAGGCUAGGGGAGCAAACGGG
rnacentral:rRNA from 1 species